UAUUCUGUUGAGUUGUCUAUCACCAACAAUGCGUCUGCUGCCAUUGAUUGCCGUGCUUUGUCUGGUGUUUGUGACCACUGAAGGUGGAAGGUGUUACAGUUUCGGCCAGGCGUGCGGAAGAUGGAACAGGGAUGUCUGCCGCUGGUGCUGGAAACCUCACAAGCGUCUCUGCUGUCUUUGGGGCGACACCUUCAAGGAAUGCAGAAGAAAAUGUCGCUUCCCCCGUCGAUGCAGCACAUUGGGAGGUAGCUGUAGCAAAGGAUGGUGCUGUAUUCGGUGCAAAGGAAAACGUUGCAAGGGUUAACUGCACCAACUACUGUCGGCUGCCGCU